UACGAGGGGGGGCAAGCGUUAAUCGGAAUUACUGGGCGUAAAGCGUGCGCAGGCGGUUUUGUAAGUUUGUCGUGAAAGCCCCGGGCUCAACCUGGGAAUUGCGAUGAAGACUGCAAGGCUUGAAUCUGGCAGAGGGGGGUAGAAUUCCACGUGUAGCAGUGAAAUGCGUAGAGAUGUGGAGGAACACCGAUGGCGAAGGCAGCCCCCUGGGUCAAGAUUGACGCUCAUGCACGAAAGCGUGGGGAGCAACAGG
rnacentral:rRNA from 1 species